GAUGAACGCUAGCUACAGGCUUAACACAUGCAAGUCGAGGGGCAUCGGGAAGAAAGCUUGCUUUCUUUGCCGGCGACCGGCGCACGGGUGAGUAACACGUAUCCAACCUGCCCUUUACUCGGGGAUAGCCUUUCGAAAGAAAGAUUAAUACCCGAUGGCAUAAUGAUUCCGCAUGGUUUCAUUAUUAAAGGAUUCCGGUAAAGGAUGGGGAUGCGUUCCAUUAGGUUGUUGGUGGGGUAACGGCCCACCAAGCCUUCGAUGGAUAGGGGUUCUGAGAGGAAGGUCCCCCACAUUGGAACUGAGACACGGUCCAAACUCCUACGGGAGGCAGCAGUGAGGAAUAUUGGUCAAUGGGCGCUAGCCUGAACCAGCCAAGUAGCGUGAAGGAUGAAGGCUCUAUGGGUCGUAAACUUCUUUUAUAUAAGAAUAAAGUGCAGUAUGUAUACUGUUUUGUAUGUAUUAUAUGAAUAAGGAUCGGCUAACUCCGUGCCAGCAGCCGCGGUAAUACGGAGGAUCCGAGCGUUAUCCGGAUUUAUUGGGUUUAAAGGGAGCGUAGGUGGACUGGUAAGUCAGUUGUGAAAGUUUGCGGCUCAACCGUAAAAUUGCAGUUGAUACUGUCAGUCUUGAGUACAGUAGAGGUGGGCGGAAUUCGUGGUGUAGCGGUGAAAUGCUUAGAUAUCACGAAGAACUCCGAUUGCGAAGGCAGCUCACUGGACUGCAACUGACACUGAUGCUCGAAAGUGUGGGUAUCAAACCAGG
rnacentral:rRNA from 1 species